rnacentral:rRNA from 1 species
AGAGUUUGAUCUGGCUCAGGACGAACGCUGGCGGCGUGCUCAUACAUGCAAGUCGAACGGGGUCCAUCCGGUGGCAACACCGAGGAAGACCUAGUGGCGAACGGGUGCGUAACACGUGAGCAACUGCCCCGAAGACCGGGAUAACAGCGGGAAACCGCUGCUAAUACCGGAUACCCUCGCGAUCUCUCAUGAGGAUGUGAGGAAAUGGGUUUCCGCUUCGGGAGGGGCUCGCGGCCUAUCAGCUUGUUGGCGGGGUAACGGCCCACCAAGGCGACGACGGGUAGCUGGUCUGAGAGGACGAUCAGCCACACUGGGACUGAGACACGGCCCAGACUCCUACGGGAGGCAGCAGUAGGGAAUCUUGCGCAAUGGGCGAAAGCCUGACGCAGCAACGCCGCGUGGGGGAUGAAGGCCUUCGGGUUGUAAACUCCUUUCAGUGGGAACGAAAAUGACGGUACCCACAGAAGAAGCCCCGGCCAACUACGUGCCAGCAGCCGCGGUGAUACGUAGGGGGCGAGCGUUGUCCGGAUUCAUUGGGCGUAAAGAGCUCGUAGGCGGCUUGGCAAGUCGAGUGUGAAACCUCCAGGCUCAACCUGGAGACGCCACUCGAUACUGCUAUGGCUAGAGUCCGGUAGGGGACCAUGGAAUUCCUGGUGUAGCGGUGAAAUGCGCAGAUAUCAGGAGGAACACCAGUGGCGAAGGCGGUGGUCUGGGCCGGUACUGACGCUGAGGAGCGAAAGCGUGGGGAGCGAACAGGAUUAGAUACCCUGGUAGUCG